AUGAGCCUAGGGAGGCAGCAGUGAGGAAUAUUGGUCAAUGGGCGCAAGCCUGAACCAGCCAAGUCGCGUGAGGGAUGACGGUCCUAUGGAUUGUAAACCUCUUUUGUCGGGGAGCAAGGCCCGCCACGUGUGGCGGGAAGGAGAGUACCCGAAGAAAAAGCAUCGACUAACUCCGUGCCAGCAGCCGCGGUAAUACGGAGGAUGCGAGCGUUAUCCGGAUUUAUUGGGUUUAAAGGGUGCGUAGGCGGAAGGUUAAGUCCGCGGUC
rnacentral:rRNA from 1 species